rnacentral:rRNA from 1 species
UACAGAGGGUGCGAGCGUUAAUCGGAAUUACUGGGCGUAAAGCGUGCGUAGACGGUUAUUUAAGUCGGAUGUGAAAGCCCCGGGCUCAACCUGGGAAUUGCAUUCGAGACUGAAUAGCUAGGGUGCGGUAGAGGGAAGCGGAAUUUCCGGUGUAGCGGUGAAAUGCGUAGAUAUCGGAAGGAACAUCAGUGGCGAAAGCGGCUCACUGGCCCGGUACUGACGCUGAGGUGCGAAAGCGUGGGGAGCAACAGG